UUUGACAAACGGUACGAUUCGACGAAGAACUCAUCCAGCAGCUUCAACACUCGUUAUCGCCGUACCAAUUUAACCAGGAAAAUGGAUGAGGAUGGAUUCACCGGCUUCGUUACGGGGGCAAUUAACCGAUCGGUUUCGUGCAACGCGAACCGUUUCACCGACUCCGUUACAAGGCUUCGAAGACGUUUCUACCGACUCACAGGCAGCUCGGUGAUGCUCUUUGGGCGCGCGCUCUCCGCUCGCAUCAUUGCCUUGUUAAUGGAACGCUUCCGGUUCGAGGGGCAUCAGAUCCGAGAGGCUCAUGGGAGCGGCAAUUCCUGACCACGACGCAGAACGCGGAUCAAGAGCGAGUCGCAAUUUCGAAUCCAGAAACCGAGCAGGACAAUUUGCAGUACAGAAUGGAGCCCGGAUUUUCGAUUGAUUUUUAUUUCAUUCCCUCGAGAGACUGUAAUAACGGAGAAAGCUCGGCGAGCAGAGAAGAGAAUGUAGAGAAAGCCUUUGAUUUUCAAGAAAAAAAAAGAAAAAAGGAAAGCAACUCCGUCAUUCGUCGAAGUACGAGCUUGCAGCGGAAGCUGGUCGCAGUCAGACGGCUCAUCCAGAAAUCCGAAACGAGAAGUGUGAGAAGAAGAAAAGCCACGCCACCAUGCGACUGCAGGGACACAGUUGUAAGCCCAAGGGAAAUUUGAUUGUACAGUCAGCGCAAGUGUGAUCUCAGAGAGGAUAGAGAGGAAAUUGUGGUACUUGCGUAGAUAUAGAGAAAAUAGUCAACCACCAAUUCAUUGGGUUUACAGUGUGAUGGAUAUCAAAACUGGGACAAACUUGUUGUAAUUAAGGAAAGUGUGUAAGGCGAGCUUGCGAGCUGUCAGGUUGGCGAAACUCAGCAGAGAGUGAAAAUGGGGUGGCUGCCAGCCAAUGAAUAAUUACACUGCAGAAUUUAUCCUGAUUCAAGUGUUUUCCACAGACUGAAAAAGAGAUUGAUUCAACAAUGAGAAAAUCACUUUGUGAUACUACCGAGUUGUUCCUUUGCUCUACACCGUAGGAUGAUGAUGCAGAGGAUUCCAUGCUGAUUGAACAAGGAGUAUGAAGACUUUGGAGAGUUGAAGGAUAAUUGUAUUUACGGAGCUGGAAAAUUGCUAGAACAAUAAACUUUGCGUGGGUGAUGAAAUGUCAAAUGACCAUAGCUAUGUAAAAGUAAAAGAAAUCGUAAUUUUUACAAAAAACAUUGUACUUUCUUUGUUAUGUUCAAAGAAACUGGUCUACUGAAUGAUUUUUCUUAAGUGAUUAGUUUUAAUACACUUAUAUGUUUACUUAAUUGAGUACCUUGAUCUUUGGAAAGUUGUAAAUUGUA
rnacentral:lncRNA from 1 species